AACUAAGACAAUAAUAUAUAUUAAAUAAUAACACAUUAACAUUAAAAAAAAUUAAGGCAAAUUGUGCCACAAUAACUUAACAGCACCAUAGGCUCAGUAGGCAGAGAUUACAAAGGAAAAUAACAAGUUAGCCUUUACGCAAACCAUGAACUGAUAGGUGUGGGCUGCACCUGGGAACACACUGAUUGGUGUUUCUAUGCAUGCGCGUGUGUGUGUGUGUGUGUCUAUGAGGCUGCUGUGUGUUAAUAAAUGUCCCCAUACAAUGUACAUUUGACGGUGAUUCAUAGCAGGGAAGCUAACAUUAGCCUACGGUAACAGCCAAAAUAUCUACUAACGUUACUUACCGCGAUGUGCUUCCUCAAAUUUGACGUUGAGUUCAUGUAAGCUUAAGCUUGUUGUUUGCCGCUGAAACUUUAUGUGCAGUUAAUCAUGUGACCGCCUGGCUCUGUUUGAUUGGUGAAACGGAGUCAAACGUCACCAGUGACUGUAUUUGAGUUUGAGUUUGAGUUAGUUUAUUUCGAACAUGCAAGCAUACAACAUGAUACAUCACAAUUUCCAGUUUCUCUUUUCAACAUGUUCGAAAAGGAGUAGGAAGAAGCAGAGCUUAUUGGAUUGGUGAAACGCAGGCAUGCGAUAAAUCCUACUUUGAAGGUCUGUCUGACAAACCAAAACAAACAAAGCGUGCAUUAACACAAAGCGAGCUGAAUAAAUGGAGCGGAGUAAAAGUAGCGUUUCUUCUCUAUAAAUAUACUCAAGUAAAAGUAAAAGUAUGUUGCAUUAAAACUACUCUUAGAAGUACAAUUAAUCCCAAAAGUUACUCAAGUAGAUGUAACGGAGUAAAUGUAGCGCGUUACUACCCACCUCUGCGAGUAGGUAAGAACAGGUACUGACCCAUUGGGCACUUCAGGGUGUCAUCAACAUCAUUUCUACCAAUUAAGAUCAAGAUCGGAAUUUGUGGAGCCCAGUUAUGAACGUUUCGUGUUUUGUGGCGAAUCAUCGGAGCAAUGUUUGGCGCCAUGCCUCGCCCACAUCUUACAGCGUAAGCAACGUUUUUUUUAAAUUUGUCAUCGUCAUGUGUAGUGUCUGUCAUUUUAAAUCUGACUCAUUUGGCCAAAGUCUCUAGGAGCAGUUCGUUAGACUGACCAUACGUCCUCUUUUCACCGGACAUGCCCUUUUUUGCGGAGCUGUCAGGGCGGAGUUUCUUAAAUGCCUCAAAUGUCCGGCAUUUUGAGUUAUGGUUGCGUGUAUUUUCAAUGUACGUUCAGGGUUAAGAAGGGGUUAAAAACAAAACAAAUUGUGCGCGCAGCAGCAUUGGUGAGGGAGGGGCAGAGACAGAGAGAGAGAGAGUUAUGAUAAACACGCAUGCGUCGCCAGGCUCUGCUUUUUAUCCAUAGAUUUAUCAGAUUUAAUUUUUUAUUAUCUAUAGCAGGGGUGUCAAAAGUGUGCCCCGGAGGCCAUUUGCGGCCCACAGCUAAUGUUUUAAAGGCCCACGGCACAUUCUAAAAAUACUAUUAAAAUAAACAAAAACAUAAGAAAAGUGAAAUAAAAAGCUUUAAGGUGAAAUGUAAUUUAGAAAAAGUUGCAAUGUUGACUAAUAAAACAAAGCUGUUUUUUUUCCUUUCAAACUGUCAUUGCUCAAAACAUAAUAUUGAAUCAAAAUCAAUGUUAUUAUGAAUUAUUGACCUAUCCAAGGUUCCGAGAACUUCACAUCAAAUAUUCCACUUAGAAAAACAUUUUCGGUGGAAGAUUUUGCAUAUUUUGUGUGUUUCCCAUUAAAAACAUGGUUUUGUUUGACAAAAAAGGGCGGAAAAAAACAAACAAAAAAACAACAUGAAAAAAACUAAAACAUUUUGAAAUGAGGGAUAGAUGUGAAGUUGAUGUAGACUCCAGAGAUUUAAGCGUUGAAUAUAAAAUGUAUGUAUGGCCUGGCACACCAUUAUCAUCAUUUCAUGACCCAAGCAAAACACUUUUUAUACUGAAAUAAAUACACCUACAACUUAUUAGAUAAAAACAUAGAAAAAACUACCAGCAGCGGUAAAGUUUAGAUCCAUGAAGGAAAGAAGAAAGUGAAUGAAUGUUUAUAACUGAAUACAUUUACAUAUGUAUACAAAAUUGUUUUCUUUUUUUAUUAUUUCUUUUAAUGAAUUAAGUAAAGUUUAUGACAACCUUUUUCCAAAACACAAUAUAGAAUGUGAGCUAUAACAGGGUAAUGCAUACGUUUAUCUUUUUUUUUCAAAACGCUUACAAAAAAGUGGGACCCAAAAAUUUACUGUGGGACCCCAUUUUUAUGACUUGAUGGGGUCCCUGGGACCCCAUUUUGAAAAUUCCUGGCGCCAACACUGCUGUCAACAGAGGAGAAAAAAUGCUUUAUUUAAAUAAAUAUAUUAUUUAUAAAGCAAAGUUUGGCGCCAUGCCACGCCCACAUCUUAUGGUGUAGGAAAAAAAUUGUCAACAUUUAGUCAUGGCCUAUAUGUGUAAUAUCUGUCAUUUUGACCGCUACUCAUUUUUGUCAAAAUCCGUAGGAAGAGUUCGUUCAAGUAAAACCCCUUCUUUUCUCUAAGGAGGACUUUGACUUGGAUAGCAGACGCGCUAUCCGACGCUAGCCGCCGACCGCAUCGAUGAUCGAGUGAAGUCCUUCGUCGCGCCGUCGAUCGCUGGAACGCAGGGAGAGUGUGAUCAGCGCGCUGCAGGAGCAAAGGUCACCGCCUCUGUCAAGGGUGUUGAGGGAGGAGCACCAUCGACUAGGGGACGGCGAGACACAGCUGGCAGUGAGCGGCAAGCAGAGGAGAGAGGUGGGAGAAACCGGAGAGACAGACAUCUGAAAAGAUUGUUCUUGGCCUCUCAUGUUGAUUAAAACUCUGUUAAACGGCACGCCUGGCUCCUGUGACGUGAUAUCCGUGGAACGGGUAGGGAACAACUUCCACACCUAUGCUUAAAAACACUUGAGUUCUGUCAUAAACAUGAUCUUUGGCUAGCUUUUUACAGCAGAGUACUCCUGUAAUAUUUUAAA